CAGAUGUGAGAUGCAGUUUCGGAAGAUUCAAGGCACCGAAAUGAAAGAGAUUAAGGUCAGAGAAGCUGAAGGCAAUUGAGAGUGACGUCUGAAACAGGGUUCAUCUGCAAAUGUCCUGGUUCAUUUGAUGUACAUGUAUAUUAGUUCCUUGGCCAGGUUUUUCUUCCCUUUGUUCUGCUCUUGUUCCAUGUGAGUUCCUUUCCUGGAUGAAUCGGCUGAAGUGAGAACUAUUCUUGAACUGUCUCAACUCUUCAUAUAACUGCGGUGUGGAGUUGGACUGGCGAGCCUCCUUUAAGCGAAUCUUUGAAACCUUUGCGUGAAUUUCACCGGUUGGACAGACACAGGAACUAAACUUGCACACCUUCAACUGGUAGGAGUGAAAUUGCACAGUUCACUUUGUCCUGAUCUGGAGUGGAGACUAAAGACUGAGAUUACCAUCAAUUAAUUGACAAUUGAGACGGAAUUUCUGAAUCCUCAGGUUUUUUAUCAGUUCAUUGAGGAAAUUAAUGCUUUUGUGAAACUUGGGUACGUCAUUCAGAGAAAUUAUACUUUGUUUUAUUUGUUCAUUUUCCUAAUUAUAAGUCUGUGUUGUUUAUUUGGUUUAAAGGGAUCACUAAAAUAAAAUCUCAUUCAAAUAACUUGUUCACUUCUGCUACAUUCUCUCUCUCUCUCUCUCG